AACGAACGCUGGCGGCAGGCCUAACACAUGCAAGUCGAACGCUCCGCAAGGGGAGUGGCAGACGGGUGAGUAACACGUGGGAAUCUUCCUGUUGGUGCGGAAUAGCUCAGGGAAACUUGGGGUAAUACCGCAUAAGCCCGAAAGGGGAAAGAUUUAUCGCCGACAGAUGAGCCCGCGUCUGAUUAGCUAGUUGGUGAGGUAACGGCUCACCAAGGCGACGAUCAGUAGCUGGUCUGAGAGGAUGACCAGCCACACUGGGACUGAGACACGGCCCAGACUCCUACGGGAGGCAGCAGUGGGGAAUAUUGGACAAUGGGCGCAAGCCUGAUCCAGCCAUGCCGCGUGAGUGACGAAGGUCUUCGGAUUGUAAAGCUCUUUUGCCAGGGACGAUAAUGACGGUACCUGGAGAAUAAGCCCCGGCUAACUUCGUGCCAGCCGCCGCAGUAAUAC
rnacentral:rRNA from 1 species